GACGAACGCUGGCGGCGUGCUUAACACAUGCAAGUCGAGCGGUAAGGCCCUUUCGGGGGCACACGAGCGGCGAACGGGUGAGUAACACGUGGGUGACCUGCCCUCAGCUCUGGGAUAAGCCCGGGAAACUGGGUCUAAUACUGGAUAUGACUCCACGGUGCAUGCCGUGGGGUGGAAAGCCUUGUGCGGCUGAGGAUGGGCCCGCGGCCUAUCAGCUUGUUGGUGGGGUGANGGCCUACCAAGGCGACGACGGGUAGCCGGCCUGAGAGGGCGACCGGCCACACUGGGACUGAGACACGGCCCAGACUCCUACGGGAGGCAGCAGUGGGGAAUCUUGCGCAAUGGGCGAAAGCCUGACGCAGCGACGCCGCGUGAGGGAUGACGGCCUCGGUGUAAC
rnacentral:rRNA from 1 species